AUAUUUUAGUGUGCACAUUUUAUUUUAGGCAAGUCUUAUAAAAUUAGAGGAAAGGGUGCAAAUAUGGGCUGGUCUUGUAAUAUGGGCUAGAUAAGUUUCUCAGCUAUUCGAUGCAGAUUUCUUCAUCUGACUAUUGCAAACGGUAAUUGGUGAAGUAAAAUUGUCACCGUAGCGAUGGCGCCACAGUGGUAGAUGUUUCACACUUUAUAAUAAAUGUUUGUCAGUUACUGUGAGUGUCAAAACUUUUUCGGGAUGUCAAGACAAGAGCUGAAAGAAGCGAAAAAAAGAAAACAAUGGGAUGAAAAAGAUAUGGAACGUGCGAUAAUAGCUGUCAGGCAGCAUGAAAUGGGUACGCUAAAAGUGUUCAGUAAUAACCGCUUCACCGUACAAAAAUGAAUUGAUCCAGUCGCUCAACAAAGUCAAAGGGAAACAAAAAGGUACAGAAGAAGACAAAGAAAACAGAAAAGGAA